rnacentral:rRNA from 1 species
UACGUAGGGCGCAAGCGUUAUCCGGAAUUAUUGGGCGUAAAGAGCUCGUAGGCGGUUUGUCGCGUCUGCCGUGAAAGUCCGGGGCUCAACUCCGGAUCUGCGGUGGGUACGGGCAGACUAGAGUGAUGUAGGGGAGACUGGAAUUCCUGGUGUAGCGGUGAAAUGCGCAGAUAUCUGGAGGAAUACCGGUGGCGAAGGCGGCAUCCUGGACCGGCAUUGACGCUGAGGAGCGAAAGCCAGGGGAGCAAACGGG